GACGAACGCUGGCGGCGUGCUUAACACAUGCAAGUCGAACGGAAAGGCCCUGCUUGCAGGGUACUCGAGUGGCGAACGGGUGAGUAACACGUGGGUGAUCUGCCCUGCACUUCGGGAUAAGCCUGGGAAACUGGGUCUAAUACCGGAUAGGAGCCAUUUUUAGUGUGAUGGUUGGAAAGUUUUUUUCGGUGUAGGAUGAGCUCGCGGCCUAUCAGCUUGUUGGUGGGGUAAUGGCCUACCAAGGCGGCGACGGGUAGCCGGCCUGAGAGGGUGGACGGCCACAUUGGGACUGAGAUACGGCCCAGACUCCUACGGGAGGCAGCAGUGGGGAAUAUUGCACAAUGGGCGCAAGCCUGAUGCAGCGACGCCGCGUGGGGGAUGGCGGCCUUCGGGUUGUAAACUCCUUUCGCUAGGGACGAAGCUUUUUGUGACGGUACCUAGAUAAGAAGCACCGGCUAACUACGUG
rnacentral:rRNA from 1 species